rfam:'Nostoc azollae' 0708, complete genome.
GUCAGAAAGCCUACUCCUGAAGGCGUGGGCUUGAAAAGCCCUAAUCUGACCAGACUAAGUACCUUGUUGGGUACUACGUUAGAGGUAAGAGUUCAAGACCUACCAAGGGAUGUGAAGCUAGUCCUUUGCUCUAGAACCGAACAGUUAAACAUCUAAGGGUUAAGGAAGUGCUGUUUGGAUAGUUACCGACCUCUAACAUUAUCAAAGCUAACUUUAC